AGUGAACGCUGGCGGUAGGCCUAACACAUGCAAGUCGAACGGCAGCACAGUAAGAGCUUGCUCUUACGGGUGGCGAGUGGCGGACGGGUGAGGAAUACAUCGGAAUCUACUUUUUCGUGGGGGAUAACGUAGGGAAACUUACGCUAAUACCGCAUACGACCUACGGGUGAAAGCAGGGGAUCUUCGGACCUUGCGCGAUUGAAUGAGCCGAUGUCGGAUUAGCUAGUUGGCGGGGUAAAGGCCCACCAAGGCGACGAUCCGUAGCUGGUCUGAGAGGAUGAUCCGCCACACUGGAACUGAGACACGGUCCAGACUCCUACGGGAGGCAGCCGUGGGGAAUAUUGGACAAUGGGCGCAAGCCUGAUCCAGCCAUACCGCGUGGGUGAAGAAGGCCUUCGGGUUGUAAAGCCCUUUUGUUGGGAAAGAAAAGCAGCAGGUUAAUACCCCGCUGUUCUGACGGUACCCAAAGAAUAAGCACCGGCUAACUUCGUG
rnacentral:rRNA from 1 species